rnacentral:rRNA from 1 species
UGGGGAAUCUUAGACAAUGGGCGCAAGCCUGAUCUAGCCAUGCCGCGUGAGCGAUGAAGGCCUUAGGGUUGUAAAGCUCUUUCAGGGGGAAGAUAAUGACUGUACCCCCAGAAGAAGCCCCGGCUAACUCCGUG